rnacentral:rRNA from 1 species
AUGAGGGAAGGGAUAAGGUCCCGAGCGCUUGCUUCCUCCCGCCGCCUCCUUCUCUUCCUUUUCCUCUUCCUCUCCCUCGGCGUAGCCCCUCCACCUCCCUCCUCCGUCGACGGCGCCUGGUCCAGCUCUGUUCGUGGUCGCGCUCAUGCAGCUCCCUCUCUGCUGCAGGAGGAUUGGAUUGGUUUCUACAUGCCCUAUUAUUUGUUUGAGAACUUGAGAUGCGGCCCUCCAAAUCUUCGGUCCCAGAAGGAGGAUUUGAGAGUGGAGAAGGGUCACCUGAAUGCGAUUUGGAGGAAGGAGUUAUCCAGGAACCAAAAUAUCAUUAUUUUACUAUUCUGCAGGGGAGAAUCUAAAGAUUAUUUGUUUCUUUUUAUGGCUGCAGAUCGCGUUUAG